rnacentral:tRNA from 1 species
GGGGAUUUAGCUCAGCGGCAUAAGCGCCUGCCUUGCAAGCAGGUAGUCGUGAGUUCGAUCCCCC